GACGAACGCUGGCGGCGUGCCUAAUACAUGCAAGUCGAGCGGGCCUCCGGAGGUGCUUGCACCUCCGGAAGGCCAGCGGCGGACGGGUGAGUAACACGUGGGCAACCUGCCUUUGAGGCAAGGAUAACACCGGGAAACCGGUGCUAAUACCGGAUGCGUCCGCUUUCGCGCCUGCGAGAGGGGAGAAAGACGGUCUUUAAGGCCGUCGCUCAAAGAGGGGCCCGCGGCGCAUUAGCGGGUUGGUGGGGUAAGGGUCGACCCAGGCGAAGAUGCGUUGCCGACCUGAGAGGGUGAUCGGCCACACUGGGACGGAGACACGGCCCAGACUCCUGCGGGAGGCAGCAGUAGGGAAUCAUCCGCAAUGGGCGAAAGCCUGACGGUGCAACGCCGCGUGAGUGAGGAAGGUUUUCGGAUCGUAAAGCUCUGUUGUGAGGGAAGAACAGCUUCCGGAGGAAAUGCCGGGAGCCUGCCGGUACCUCACCAGAAAGCCCCGGCUAACUACGUGCCAGCCGCCGCAGUAACAC
rnacentral:rRNA from 1 species